AUGAACGCCUCCUCGGCCCCGGAGUCGGAUGGACUGCAAGUGGCGUUUUUCAAAACAUUCUGGCAGACCAUCAAACCAGAAGUCAUGGCCCUCUUCGACAAAUUAUUUUCGGGGACCAUGGACCUUGGGCGCUUGAACUAUGGGGUCAUCAUUCUCUUACCCAAGGUUUCGGGUGCCUCUGACAUCCGCCAGUUUUGGCCUAUCACUGUGUUCAAUGUGAUAUUCCGGAUCCUGGCCAAAGGGUACGCCAAUAGGGUGACCCUUUUAGCUGACAAUAUAACUCACCCCAACCAAUCUGCCUUCAUUCAAGGACGGUUUAUUCUGGAUGGGGUUUUGGUCUUCCACGAGGUCCUUCAUGAAGUCCGGUCCAAACUGUUGGGGAACGUAGUAAUUUCAAAAACAUUCCUACGCACAUGCAAUAUCAUGGUGAUGCAUAGCAACAAGAGGGGAGAGUGUUGUCUACGUACCUUCGUAGAUCGUAAGCGGAAGCGUUAG
rnacentral:rRNA from 1 species